AGUGAACGCUGGCGGUAGGCCUAACACAUGCAAGUCGAACGGCAGCACAGUAAGAGCUUGCUCUUACGGGUGGCGAGUGGCGGACGGGUGAGGAAUACAUCGGAAUCUACUUUUUCGUGGGGGAUAACGUAGGGAAACUUACGCUAAUACCGCAUACGACCUACGGGUGAAAGCAGGGGAUCUUCGGACCUUGCGCGAUUGAAUGAGCCGAUAUCGGAUUAGCUAGUUGGCGGGGUAAAGGCCCACCAAGGCGACGAUCCGUAGCUGGUCUGAGAGGAUGAUCAGCCACACUGGAACUGAGACACGGUCCAGACUCCUACGGGAGGCAGCAGUGGGGAAUACUGGACAAUGGGCGCAAGCCUGAUCCAGCCAUACCGCGUGGGUGAAGAAGGCCUUCGGGUUGUAAAGCCCUUUUGUUGGGAAAGAAAAGCAGCAGGUUAAUACCCCGCUGUUCUGACGGUACCCAAAGAAUAAGCACCGGCUAACUUCGUG
rnacentral:rRNA from 1 species